rnacentral:lncRNA from 1 species
CUGGCAAGAGCCCAUGAAGGGAUUAGGUGUACCUUAACUGACUUAGCUGCUAUUGAAUAAAAUUCUCUGCCCUUGCCCAGGUUGCCUUUUAUGAAGAAAUGAUUUCAGAAUGAUGCCUGUUGCCAUGGCAGAAAUCUUGCCAACCAUGCUUAGCACAUGGGCCAGAACUGCCCAUCAGGUCAACAACUCAUCUGAAACAUAUUCUUACAGUUUUUCAGAUGAUCACAUACUUGGACACUGAUGAACAUAGCAUUUGCUCAUUCAUUCAUUCAGCAAAUAUUUAUUAAGCAUUUGCCCUGUGCAAAUUACUGUUCUGGUAUAAAGAAGACAGCAAGAAGCUGCAAGGAAUAUAUAAAUAUAUAAAAGAGCAUUUUCUAUGCCUAAGACCUAGCAAGUUGGUCUGAAAAGGAAUAAUUAAAGAAGAAGGAAAAACAUGGAAGCCAAAAGAGGCCAUUGAAUUUGGAGAUUAAGAGGGAGCUAGCCAGGCAAUGUGCUAGACACUUUACAAAUGCUAUCUCAGUUGAGUGGUGUCUGCUAGAUAUUGACCCCUGGAUGUUGACAUGGAGUGAAGUAAUACUUUGGUAAUGCAAACAGACAUAAAACCUGAACUCCACAUCUUCUCUGUCUGCCCCCAAGCCGAAGCCUGUCACUCCCUUUAAAUGUUCUGUUACUUUUGGGGUGGCCCCAAUCUCCUUGUCACUCAAACUUAGGAGCAAAUGAGACUCCUCCCCCUUAGCCAACUCAUUGGAUAAAAUGAUAAGUCCUUUGGAUAAGUCUCUAUGGUAUCUCUGGAUUCUUCCUCCUUUCCAUUCCCACUCAUUCAUUCCUCCCUUUAUUCAAGCCUUCAUUACCUCUCAAUAGGCUCUUGUAAUGCCGUCUUAAAUAUCC